UUUCAGCAACGGAUCUCUUGGCUCUCGCAUCGAUGAAGAACGCAGCGAAAUGCGAUAAGUAAUGUGAAUUGCAGAAUUCAGUGAAUCAUCGAAUCUUUGAACGCACCUUGCGCUCCUUGGUAUUCCGAGGAGCAUGCCUGUUUGAGUGU
rnacentral:rRNA from 46 species